rnacentral:rRNA from 1 species
AUGACCUAUGAGGCGUACGAUAUCAACGGCUACACAUUCUACACCGAGGACAAGGACAUGAAGAGCGAUGGUUAUCAGAACUUCGGGGUAACGAUGGAAUCCUACACCGGUAAUGACAAUGACAGAUACUACGGAAGGAUCGAGGAGAUCUGGGAGCUGAGCUACGCUGGAGAGAAGGUCCCGAUGUUCCGUGUCAGAUGGGCCAAGAGCAUCAUAAAAGAAGACCGGGUCCAAGUCUCCUGGAUCACGUUCGAGCACGGGGCCCGCUGCUACGCCGCCAUCGCCGUCGUCCUUGACCGCCUCUCCCCUCCUCUGAAGAAGGACCACGGGGCCCGCUGCUACGCCGCCAUCACCGUCGUCCUGCCUGAUCUGAGGCGCGAUUGGGAGGAGAAGGGGACACACCCUCGUCCUUAG